GCCGGAUAGGUCGAAUGUGUAGAACAACAUUCUUAGAACCCAUGCGGAUAUAGUUUCCAUAUAAUUCAUCUCCUUGACCAAAAUGCUCAUAGGACACCUUAGAGUUCCACUAUCAACUCUGAUCAGAUUGUCCAUAUUGUAUUUCAAAAUAUCAAAUCCAUCUAAUGGAUUACCCUGACCAAAGUUUUGCUAAAUUGAAAUACAGCGACUCAUUCUUUUCCAACUCUUAGAGUGGUCAAUCCCAU
rnacentral:lncRNA from 1 species